rnacentral:rRNA from 1 species
UACGUAGGGUGCAGGCGUUUAAUCGGAAUUACUGGGCGUAAAGCGUGCGCAGGCGGUUUGCUAAGACAGGUGUGAAAUCCCAGGGCUUAACCUUGGAACUGCAUUUGUGACUGCAUAGCUAGAGUACGGUAGAGGGGGAUGGAAUUCCGCGUGUAGCAGUGAAAUGCGUAGAUAUGCGGAGGAACACCGAUGGCGAAGGCAAUCCCCUGGACCUGUACUGACGCUCAUGCACGAAAGCGUGGGGAGCAAACAGG